rnacentral:hammerhead_ribozyme from 1 species
AUUCACCUGACAAAUCCCAAAUAGGACGAAACGCGCUUCCUGGAU